AACUAACGCUAGCGGCGUGCCUAACACAUGCAAGUCUUACGAGAAAGUUCGUUUCGGCGAAUGAGUACAGUGGCGCACGGGUGAGUAACGCGUGGAUAAUCUGCCCUCGAGUUAGGAAUAACCCAUCGAAAGGUGGGCUAAUACCCAAUGACGCUGAUUCACCCCGGUGGGUCAGCCAAAGGUAGCCUCUGUUUACAAGCUACCGCUCCUGGAUGAGUCCGCGUACCAUUAGCUGGUUGGUAGGGUAAUGGCCUACCAAGGCGACGAUGGUUAGCUGGUCUGAGAGGAUGACCAGCCACACUGGAACUGAGAUACGGUCCAGACUCCUACGGGUGGCAG
rnacentral:rRNA from 1 species